UCCACCUGUAGACUCUACACGCUAGUAAACUUAGAUGCUAAGUGUUUUAAUUGGGUUCUCAUCCUGUUCUCUCUCUAGCUUUUGAUAUCUUCUUCUCAAUUAGUUUUCUGUUUAAAUUUUGGGUUCUUUUAGGGUUUUAAUUGGUACAUGUUGGAUGAAGGAGAAAGAGACGAUGAUCAUGGAAUUGCCUGAAUAAUCAAUGAUCAAUGGAAUCUGCUGGACAUGUACAAGAAUUUGGUUUUCCUAAAUUGUUUAUGUAAAUAUGCAUUACUAGUUGAUUACAAAAUCCUAGUGUUUGCUUUGUCAAAGCUGCUAAGGCUGAAGUUUUGGAUGAUCUUCUGGGGACCAUUGACACAUUGGCUUGGGGAAAGGUCUCUCGUAUUGGGGAAAUGAGCUAUGUUAUUUGUCUUGGCUGUAGUUGAGCUAUGUUACAUUUUAAUUUAAUUUUAUAAAUUUUGAUUUAUUUUUC